UCUACGUUCUUGUUUCGUCCCGUUCUCGAGAAAAAUUAUUAUUUAAUAACAGCUUCUCGUUUUCCGGGAACAUCGUUUGUAAUAAUCACGGGGUUCGGUAAAACUUAACAUUUCAUAAAAAAUGUAAAUAUUUUAACAUCAUUGCUUUCCUUAAAAGAUUGUUCAUUUUGAAAAUAUAUAAGUUUUUAGAAAACAUAAAGCAAACUUAAUAUUUGUUGGGUAUCUAAAAAUUCGUUAAAACAUGAAAUUGCUGCUCAAGCACCAAAUAAUAUAUUG